rnacentral:rRNA from 1 species
GACGAACGCUGGCGGCGUGCUUAACACAUGCAAGUCGAACGGAAAGGCCCUGCUUGCAGGGUGCUCGAGUGGCGAACGGGUGAGUAACACGUGGGUGAUCUGCCCCUUACUUUGGGUUAAGCCUGGGAAACUGGGUCUAAUACUGGAUAGGACCAUGCUGUAGGUGGUGUGGUGGAAAGAUUAGUUUCGGUAAGGGAUGAGCUCUCGGCCUAUCAGCUUGUUGUUGGGGUAAUGGCCUACCAAGGCGUCGACGGGUAGCCGGCCUGAGAGGGUGGACGGCCACAUUGGGACUGAGAUACGGCGCAGAAUCCGACGGGAGGCAGCAGUGGGGGAUAUUGCACAAUGGGCGCAAGCCUGAUGCAGCGACGCCGCGUGGGGGAUGACGGCCUUCGGGUUGUAAACUCCUUUCGGCCAUGACGAAGCCCUUGUGGUGACGGUAGUGGUAGAAGAAGCACCGGCUAACUACGUG